rnacentral:rRNA from 1 species
UACGUAGGGUGCGAGCGUUAAUCGGAAUUACUGGGCGUAAAGCGUGCGCAGGCGGUUAUGUAAGACAGAUGUGAAAUCCCCGGGCUUAACCUGGGAACUGCACUCGAAACUUCUUUUCUUGAGUGCCGGAGAGGAAAGCGGAAUUCCUGGUGUAGAGGUGAAAUUCGUAGAUAUCAGGAGGAACACCAGUGGCGAAGGCGGCUUUCUGGACGGUAACUGGACGCUGAGGAGCGAAAGCGUGGGGAGCGAACAGG